rnacentral:lncRNA from 1 species
UCAAGUUGGCGUGAGUGCGUUGUGUAGUAUUUAACCGCUUUAGGGCGCAAGGAUGUUACCAGGAUUAAUAAAGGAUGCAGAGGCCAUUAGAAGAAGAGGAAACGCCAAGCAUGAAUGUUGCCGCUUAGCCAUAAUGUGGGCCAUGCCAAAAGAGAGAAAUAGGAGUCUUUAAAGGGAUAAACAACAACUGUGUACUUUGAGGAAUAGCUUAAUGUUCUUAUUUUUUUCUUGCACCUGUGCAGUCUUGUUUAUAUAGAAGAUGGAGUUUCAUGUAUAGAGAACAUAUUUUGGUGUAUGUUCUCUACUUUUUGGUAUACUACUUGUAAAUGGGG